rnacentral:rRNA from 1 species
GACGAACGCUGGCGGCGUGCCUAAUACAUGCAAGUAGAACGCUGAAGAGAGGAGCUUGCUCUUCUUGGAUGAGUUGCGAACGGGUGAGUAACGCGUAGGUAACCUGCCUUGUAGCGGGGGAUAACUAUUGGAAACGAUAGCUAAUACCGCAUAACAAUGGAUGACACAUGUCAUUUAUUUGAAAGGGGCAAUUGCUCCACUACAAGAUGGACCUGCGUUGUAUUAGCUAGUAGGUGAGGUAAUGGCUCACCUAGGCGACGAUACAUAGCCGACCUGAGAGGGUGAGCGGCCACACUGGGACUGAGACACGGCCCAGACUCCUACGGGAGGCAGCAGUAGGGAAUCUUCGGCAAUAGGGGCAACCCUGACCGAGCAACGCCGCGUGAGUGAAGAAGGUUUUCGGAUCGUAAAGCUCUGUUGUAAGUCAAGAACGGGUGUGAGAGUGGAAAGUUCACACUGUGACGGUAGCUUACCAGAAAGGGACGGCUAACUACGUG